rnacentral:rRNA from 1 species
CCUGAGUACGACGGAGCACGUGAAAUUCCGUCGGAAUCUGGGAGGACCAUCUCCUAAGGCUAAAUACUCUCUAGUGACCGAUAGUGAACCAGUACCGUGAGGGAAAGGUGAAAAGUACCCCGGAAGGGGAGUGAAAGAGAACUUGAAACCGUGUGCUUACAAGUAGUCAGAGCCCGUUAAUGGGUGAUGGCGUGCCUUUUGUAGAAUGAACCGGCGAGUUACGAUCUGAUGCAAGGUUAAGCAGAAAAUGUGGAGCCGUAGCGAAAGCGAGUCUGAAUAGGGCGAAUGAGUAUUUGGUCGUAGACCCGAAACCAGGUGAUCUACCCUUGGUCAGGUUGAAGUUCAGGUAACACUGAAUGGAGGACCGAACCGACUUACGUUGAAAAGUGAGCGGAUGAACUGAGGGUAGCGGAGAAAUUCCAAUCGAACUUGGAGAUAGCUGGUUCUCUCCGAAAUAGCUUUAGGGCUAGCCUCAAGUGAUGAUUAUUGGAGGUAGAGCACUGUUUGGACGAGGGGCCCCUCUCGGGUUACCGAAUUCAGACAAACUCCGAAUGCCAAAUAAUUUAACUUGGGAGUCAGAAUGUGGGUGAUAAGGUCCAUAUUCGAAAGGGAAACAGCCCAGACCACCAGCUAAGGUCCCAAAAUAUAUGUUAAGUGGAAAAGGAUGUGGCGUUGCCCAGACAACUAGGAUGUUGGCUUAGAAGCAGCCAUCAUUUAAAGAGUGCGUAAUAGCUCACUAGUCGAGUGACACUGCGCCGAAAAUGUACCGGGGCUAAACAUAUUACCGAAGCUGUGGAUUGUCCUUUGGACAAUGGUAGGAGAGCGUUCUAAGGGCGUUGAAGCAUGAUCGCAAGGACAUGUGGAGCGCUUAGAAGUGAGAAUGCCGGUGUGAGUAGCGAAAGACGGGUGAGAAUCCCGUCCACCGAUUGACUAAGGUUUCCAGAGGAAGGCUCGUCCGCUCUGGGUUAGUCGGGUCCUAAGCUGAGGCCGACAGGCGUAGGCGAUGGAUAACAGGUUGA